rnacentral:rRNA from 1 species
CGAACGGAAAGGCCCUGCUUGCAGGGUACUCGAGUGGCGAACGGGUGAGUAACACGUGGGUGAUCUGCCCUGCACUUCGGGAUAAGCUUGGGAAACUGGGUCUAAUACCGGAUAGGAACCAUCUUUAGUGUGGUGGUUGGAAAGUUUUUUCGGUGUAGGAUGAGCUCGCGGCCUAUCAGCUUGUUGGUGGGGUAAUGGCCUACCAAGGCGGCGACGGGUAGCCGGCCUGAGAGGGUGUACGGCCACAUUGGGACUGAGAUACGGCCCAGACUCCUACGGGAGGCAGCAGUGGGGAAUAUUGCACAAUGGGCGCAAGCCUGAUGCAGCGACGCCGCGUGGGGGAUGAAGGCCUUCGGGUUGUAAACUCCUUUCGCUAGGGACGAAGCUUUUUGUGACGGUACCUAGAUAAGGAGCACCGGCUAACUACGUGCCAGCAGCCGCGGUAAUACGUAGGGUGCGAGCGUUGUCCGGAAUUACUGGGCGUAAAGGGCUCGUAGGUGGUUUGUCGCGUCGUCUGUGAAAUUCUGGGGCUUAACUCCGGGCGUGCAGGCGAUACGGGCAUAACUUGAGUGCUGUAGGGGUAACUGGAAUUCCUGGUGUAGCGGUGAAAUGCGCAGAUAUCAGGAGGAACACCGAUGGCGAAGGCAGGUUACUGGGCAGUUACUGACGCUGAGGAGCGAAAGCAUGG